UACAGAGGUCCCAAGCGUUGUUCGGAUUCACUGGGCGUAAAGGGUGCGUAGGCGGUCGGGUAAGUCUGGCGUGAAAUCUCCAAGCCUAACUUGGAACUGCGUUGGAUACUAUCCGGCUCGAGGAAUGGAGGGGAGACUGGAAUACUUGGUGUAGCAGUGAAAUGCGUAGAUAUCAAGUGGAACACCAGUGGCGAAGGCGGCUCUCUGGGACGGUACUGACGCUGAGACGCGAAAGCGUGGGGAGCGAACAGG
rnacentral:rRNA from 1 species